UAGGGAAUCUUCGGCAAUGGGGGGAACCCUGACCGAGCAACGCCGCGUGAGUGAAGAAGGUUUUCGGAUCGUAAAGCUCUGUUGUUAAGGAAGAACGAGUGUGAGAAUGGAAAGUUCAUGCUGUGACGGUACUUAACCAGAAAGGGACGGCUAACUACGUGCCAGCAGCCGCGGUAAUACGUAGGUCCCGAGCGUUGUCCGGAUUUAUUGGGCGUAAAGCGAGCGCAGGCGGUUAGAAAAGUCUGAAGUGAAAGGCAGUGGCUCAACCAUUGUAGGCUUUGGAAACUGUUUAACUUGGGUGCAGAAGGGGAGAGUGGAAUUCCAUGUGUAGCGGUGAAAUGCGUAGAUAUAUGGAAGAACACCGGUGGCGAAAGCGGCUCUCUGGUCUGUAACUGACGCUGAGGCUCGAAAGCGUGGGGAGCGAACAGG
rnacentral:rRNA from 1 species